GUGGGGAAUAUUGCACAAUGGGGGAAACCCUGAUGCAGCAACGCCGCGUGGAGGAAGAAGGUCUUCGGAUUGUAAACUCCUGUCUUCUGGGACGAAGAAUGACGGUACCAGAGGAGGAAGCCACGGCUAACUACGUGCCAGCAGCCGCGGUAAUACGUAGGUGGCGAGCGUUGUCCGGAAUUACUGGGCGUAAAGGGCGCGUAGGCGGCCUGUUAAGUCAGAUGUGAAAACCCCGGGCUCAACCUGGGGAGUGCAUUUGAAACUGAUGGGCUAGAGUGUCGGAGAGGGAAGCGGAAUUCCUAGUGUAGCGGUGAAAUGCGUAGAUAUUAGGAGGAACACCAGUGGCGAAGGCGGCUUUCUGGACGAUAACUGACGCUGAGGCGCGAAAGCGUGGGGAGCAAACAGGAUUAGAAACCCUAGUAGUCC
rnacentral:rRNA from 1 species